rnacentral:rRNA from 1 species
UACGGAGGGUGCAAGCGUUAUCCGGAUUCACUGGGUUUAAAGGGUGCGUAGGCGGGCAUUUAAGUCAGUGGUGAAAUACCUGAGCUUAACUUGGGAACUGCCAUUGAUACUAUUUGUCUUGAAUGUCGUGGAGGUUAGCGGAAUAUGUCAUGUAGCGGUGAAAUGCUUAGAUAUGACAUAGAAACACCUAUUGCGAAGGCAGCUAACUACGCGAAUAUUGACGCUGAGGCACGAAAAGCGUGGGGAUCAAACAGG